UGUGCCAGCCAGCUGCGGUUAGACUGAGGAGAAAAUUAGAAAUGUUCGGGUUGUAGUUUGGUGUUUGCUUAGAAUUUGUUUUAUGUUUUAGUUGGAGGUGAAAUUUUUAACUAAAAAUAUAAAAUUAAUGUUGGAUAUACUGAAGCUAUUAAAUCUUAAUUAGAGACUGGGAUUAGAGACCCCAUUAUUUUAAAGAAGAGAACUUUAUACUUGAUUAAUAAUUGUUAUAUGCUUGAAAUUUAGAGAAUUUGGCGGUAUUCAAGUCUAGUUAGAGGAACCUGCUUCUUAAAACGAUAAACCACGAAGUAUCUUAUUUUUCUUUGUUUUCAGUUUGUAUACCUCCAUUAUUAGGUGUAAUUUAAAAAUUUUUACUUAAAUAUAGAAGUUCUAUAGUAUAUUAGGUCAAGGUGCAGCCUAUGGGAAAGUUGAUUGUGGGUUACAUUUUCUUAUAGACUUGAAAGAUAAAUUUAAAUUUUUUUCUGAAAUUGGAUUUAAUUGUAAUUUCUGUUUAAUAUGCAGAACUGAUAUUAGCUCUUGAAUAUGUACACAUCGCCCGUCGCUCUCAUAAUUAAGUUGAGAUAAGUCGUAACAAAGUAGGA
rnacentral:rRNA from 1 species